UACAGAGGAUGCAAGCGUUAUCCGGAAUGAUUGGGCGUAAAGCGUCUGUAGGUGGCUUUUUAAGUCCGCCGUCAAAUCCCAGGGCUCAACUCUGGACAGGCGGUGGAAACUACCAAGCUGGAGUACGGUAGGGGCAGAGGGAAUUUCCGGUGGAGCGGUGAAAUGCGUAGAUAUCGAGAGGAACACCUGCGGCGAAGGCGGGUUGCUGGGCUGACACUGACGCUGAAGCGCGAAAGCUAGGGGAGCGAACGGG
rnacentral:rRNA from 1 species